rnacentral:rRNA from 1 species
CGUGUAGGCGGUCCGACCAGUCGGAUGUGAAAGCCCGAGGCCCAACCUCGGAACUGCAUUCGAAACUUUCGGACUAGAGUCCCGGAGAGGAUGGUGGAAUUCCCAGUGUAGAGGUGAAAUUCGUAGAUAUUGGGAGGAACACCAGUGGCGAAGGCGGCCAUCUGGACGGUGACUGACGCUGAGACGCGAAAGCGUGGGGAGCAAACAGGAUUAGAUACCCUGGUAGUCC